rnacentral:rRNA from 1 species
UAGGGAAUCUUCCGCAAUGGACGAAAGUCUGACGGAGCAACGCCGCGUGAGUGAAGAAGGAUUUCGGUUCGUAAAACUCUGUUGUUAGGGAAGAAAAAAUGAAUAGAAACAAAAACAAAAGGAAAGGGAACCAAACCAGAAAGCAACGGCAAACAAGGUGCCAGCAGCCGCGGUAAUACGUAGGUGGCAAGCGUUGUCCGGAAUUAUUGGGCGUAAAGCGCGCGCAGGUGGUUUAGAAAGUCUGAUGUGAAAGCCCACGGCUCAACCGUGGAGGGUCAUUGGAAACUAAUAAACUUGAGUGCAGGAGAGAAAAGUGGAAUUCCUAGUGUAGCGGUGAAAUGCGUAGAGAUUAGGAGGAACACCGGUGGCGAAAGCGGCUUUUUGGCCUGCAACUGACACUGAGGCGCGAAAGCGUGGGGAGCAAACAGG